CAGCGCCGACACCAGCGCCUCGCGCUGCGCCACUUCCCGCCGCAGCUCCGCGUUGGCCGCCACCCGCGCCGCCAGCUGUGACUCCAGCUCGCGGCACUUGCUCUCCAGCUCCCGGGACGCCAACUCUGGGCAGGGGAGAGGGAGGGGAGAGUGAGGGUCCCCGCCUGGCUGUCACCUGCACAGCUCACCGAUCCUCAGAGCGAAGCCCGGCACCCCCCCGCCCCCGACUGCACGUCCUGCGGCGCUCGCCCUCACUCCCCACGCGCCUGCGACGCUGGCCUGCCUCUCCUCCUCGAGGCCCUUGCACCUAUCUUGCCUUCUGUUUGGGCACUCUGAUUCUUCAGUGCGCCCCUUAAGUUUAAGUGCAAACCCUUCCCUGACCAUUUAUUCACUCCAUGACUGUUUGUUGUGCCCUGACUCUGUGCGUUGUAUUAGGCAUUGUGGGUAUGGUGGAUAGUAAAACAUUCCUCACGAAGCUCACAGCAAGCAUAGUGGGAGAGGUAUGGUACAUAACCACAAAAGAAUGUGAGGUUGCAUCUGUGACACGUGCCAAUACCACGACUGUAACAGGAGACUGUGACCUAAUCAGGGAAGGCUUCUCAGCCGAAGAGCAACUUGGGCUAGGAUCUGACAGACUAUGUUCCUUGAAGUCAAAGACCCCAUAUUGUCAUCGUGUUGAAUCUUGACACUCAGCAUCUUGGAGGGUGUGGACACGGACUGUGAGAAUCACUCGUGCAAGGAUGAGAAGGAUUAGGGAGGAAGCUGAUGUGGCGUUGCACGCUCUGGAUCUGAUGCUCCAGGGACACGGUAUCCAUGGCAACCCAGGCCUGGGCCCCACCUGGGGAGGAUGACAAGGUGAACCCACAUCUUCUGGGCCCAUCCACCCUGCCAACCUUCAGGUCCUUUCAAUUGUCUCCUUCAGUCUGGGGUCCUCUUGUACCAGGCAGAUGAUUCUGCCACUGAAGUCAUUUGUAUUUACUCACUGAAACUUCAUAAACAAGCGGUGUGUUGGCAGGAAGUAUAAUUAUUCCCAUUUAACAGAUGAAGAACCAGAGGCUCAGAGGGAAAUGGCUUUACUCCCUUGCCCCCAUGUAACUUUAGCCUCUUCUGUAUCUCAGAGGAAAACAAAUGGGGCAGCAAAGUCAAUAAAGAGAGACAGACAUUUGGGUUCUCGUCUGCUGCUUCACAAGCUGUGUGACUUUGGGCAAGCCCUCUCCCUCUCUAGGCUCUCAGUUUUCUCCUGGGUAAAAUUAGGGAAUUGUGGAGAGGAUGAAUGCUGAAGCCUCUCCCGCUCUGCCAUCCCUCAAGCAUCCCAGCUCAAGGGUGACCGUCAACUGGCAGGGCAGUGUGAUGGUUAGUGCACAACCCUCUGCCAGUUCAAUUCCAUUUCUCUGAUUUAACCUCAGCCCAGGGCUCUGGACUCUUCCAUGUCACAGAAGAGGAAGAUCUGAUGAAUGUUUUAUUAAGACUGAUCCUGUGGGCUGAGGGCAGGUGGUGGAGUCCCUUUUUCCAAGAGGAAUGGGGGAGGGUCAUAUGGAGACCUAAGCAGUAGGUCCAUGGUAGAAGCUUAUGACACUGUGAUGGGAGAGGGAGGCUUGCAUCCCUGAAUCCUAGUGAUGGCCUGGCUUUUCAGCUCUCUCUUCUGACCCUGCCCCUUGCCCAGUGAGUCUCUUCUGUGAUGAUCAGUGUCUUGGAAAAGCAUAGGCAGAGGGCAAAAGCAGGAGGCAGAGGGCAGCGGAAGCCGAGCCCUCUGGAGUCCAGGACUCAGAGCUCAUGCCUUCUCCGCCAGGGACUCCCAAAGCUUGUGACGGCCCUUCCUCCACCUGCCCUAGGAACUCCCUGGCCAGAGGAGAGGAAAACCAGUUGCUGGCUUGUUCUGUUCAGCAAUGGUCCCCUUGAAACAGGCUUUCUGGUAAGCCUCUGCAAAGCAAGAUUUCCAUUUGUAGGGUCACAUCCAGCAGGUGCACCUGAGAACCUCACGUUCAUAGGUUCCUCUCUUGGGGCCCCCCUUCCCUUGUACCUGUAUGGCCUCCCUAAUCCAACCAAAUGGACUUUCACUUCAGCAGUGGGGUGGGUGGCCCUUUGGCCUGUGGGAAUCACUGGUUACAUUUACUGACCAUCUGCUAUAUUUAGGGAACUUUAUGCACAUUAUCUUACUUCUGCCAACCACUCUUCAGUAGGUAUCACCACCUCCAUUUCACAAAGAAACAGACUCAGAGCUGAAGUGACUUGUGCCAGGUCGUGUGGUCAGUAAGUGGCAGCAGAUCCAAUUCUCCAACCAAGCCUUUGGAAUCCAAAGAAGUUUCCCAGUAUUUACACUGGAAACAGUCCUGGAUUUGAAUCCUAGGUUUUUCGGUUCCCUGCUGUGUGACUUUGGGCAAGAAAGUUAACCUCUCUAAACCUUGCUUCCCCUCUCUGUAAAAUGAGGCUACUAACAGGAGCAGUCCUAGGAUAGUUGUGAGGGUUAAAUGAAAUUAGAAAUUGUAGAGCACUUAGCACAGAACCUGGCUCAAUCAAUGCCUCAUCCCUUCUCCUCCCUGUUUAAUGUCUGAGUAGGUUAAUCCGUGCCCUGAUUUGUCCAUUUGUUCAUCAUUCAUUCAUUCAAUGAUCUACUGUUACCAACCACUGUGCUGGGUACAGGGACAUAGUGACGAACAAAACAGUAUUCCUGCUUUCUGCUCUCAUGGAGCUCACAAGGCCAAGAGAAGAGAAUCAAACAAAUAAACAGGUACAUCAAACAAACAAAUAAUACAAAUAAGUUUACAGUUACAAUCUGUAAGUGCUGUGAAAGAAACCUGCAGGGUAACGUUGAAAGAAUAUAAAGUGGGACCUAGUUUAGAUCUGGGGUCAGGGAAGGUAUCUUUGUGGAAAUGAUUUUAGGCUGAGGGACUUCCCUGGUGGCCUAGUGGAUAAGAAUCCGUGCUCCCAAUGGAGGGGGCCCGGGUUCGAUCCCUGGUUAGGAAACUAGAUCCCACAUUCACGCUGCAACUAAGAGUUCACGUGCCACAGCUAAGGAGCCCGUGUGCCGCAAAUAAGGAGCCCAUGAGCCGCAACUAAGGAGCCCAUGUGCUGCAAUGAAGACCUGGUGCAACCAAAUAAAUAUUAAAAAAAAAAAAAAGAAAUGAUUUUAGGCUGAGACCUUGUGGCAGGCAGAAUUCCAAGGUGGUCCCCAAGAUUCCCAGCCCCUGAUAUAUACACUCUCUAACAUUAUCCUCUCCCCUUGGGUGUGGGUGGGACUGUGAAUAUGAUAGAUUUCAUUCCUCUGAUUAGGUUAUAUGACAAAGGUGAAGGAUUUUACAGAUGUAAUUAAGGUCUCCAAUCAGUUGACUUUGAGUUAAAAACAGAAGGAAGAUUAUUCUGGGUGGGCCAGGUUCUAAGGGCCCUUGCUAUAGGAAGAGAUCUGAAGCGUGAGAGAAAUUUGGCUUCUGGCCUAGAAGGGGUAAACUGCCAUGCUGUGAGACAGCCUGUGCAGGAAGCCAAAGGCAAGAACCUGAGCGAGGGCUCUAGUAGCUGAGAAUGGUCCCUGAUUGACAGCUAGCAAGAAAAUGGGGACUCCAGUCCUACAGCUGCAGGGAAGUAAAUACUGCCAACAACCUAAGGUAUCUUGGAAACGGAUCUUUCCCUAGUUGAACCUUCAGAGAAGGAUGCAGCCCUACCUUGAUUUCAGCCUUAGGAGACCCUGAGUGGAGGACCCAAGUAAAAGGUGCCAGACUUCUGAUCCUUGGAAACUGUGAGAUGACAAAUUUAUGCAGCAAUAGAAAACGAAUACAGACUUGAAGGGGGGUAGGAGUUAGAAGACUAAAGGGAAGAGCAUUCCACACAGGGAACAGCAUCUGUGAAGGCCCAGAGGUAGAAUAAUGAUAGCUUACAUUUACUGAGUGCCUACUAUGUGCCAGGCUUUGCGCUAAGUGCUUCACGUGGUCUUUUUGAGGAACGGAGACAUUGCCACUGCUGGUGAAGUUGAAGUGUAAGGUAUUAGCGGAGAGUUGCAGGAAGUGAGGUUAGCAAGUGAAAGAUCACACAGGGACUUAAAACUGUGUUAAGAAUUUUGGACUAAUGCUAAAUGAAUUGGAAAGUUAUUAAAGGAUUUUAAGCAGGAGAUGGACAUGAUAUGAUUUGCAUUUUUAAAA